GAAAGAAAAAUUUUAGGUUGUAUACAACUCUGCAAAGGACCUAACAGUGUAGGUCAGUACAUACUACUUCAACCCUUUGCAGAUGCAAUAAAACUUUUUAUUAAAGAACCACUAUGACCAUUAGCAUCUGUCAUUCCCCAUAUAGUAUUGCUCCAACGUAUUGCACUCUUUGUAUGAAUCCCCCUCCCCAUACCAUACCCCCUAUUUAAUCUUAAUAUAGGUCCCUUAUUUAUACUAGCUACAUCAAGCCUAGCUGUCUAUCUUAGGAUCAGGAUGAGCAUUCAAUUCAAAAUAUGCGCUAUUUGGCGCACUACCAGCAGUAGCCCAAACAACUUCAUAUGUCAUUACCCUAGCUAUUAUCCUCCUGUCAGUUCUUUUGAUAAGUGGCUCAUUUAAUUUACCCACAUUCAUCGUAACACAAGAGUUUAUUUGGCUACUCCUACCAUCAUGACCUCUAGCUAUAAUAUGAUACAUCUCCACCCUAGCAGAGACUAACUAAGCCCCAUUUGACCUAACAGAAGGGGAAUUAGUCUUGGGAUUUAAUGUUGAACAUGCCUCAGGUCCAUUUGCCCUGUUCUUUAUAGCAAAAUAUAUAAAUAUCAUUAUAAUGAAUGCACUAAUCACUAGUAUCUUCCUAGGAGCAGUAUAUGAUAUUCAUAUACCAGAACUCUACACCAUAAAUUUUGUCAGCAAAACCCUCCUUUUAACGACCCUUUUUUUAUGAAUUCCAGCAUCAUACCCUCUAUUUCAUUAUGAUCAGCUCAUAUAUUGUGAAAAAACUUCUCACUACUCACACUAGCACUUUGCAAAUAACGUAUCUCUGUGCCCAUCAUAAUAUCUAGUAUUCCACCUCAAACAUAA
rnacentral:lncRNA from 1 species